CACUACAAAAGGAACAAUCAGUGUAUUGCUUUAACACAUACAAAAUGAGAAAUGAUUGCCUACAAAGGAGUACUGCAUAAAGGGAUCAGAGGGUUAUAGUGGAUCACAAACUAAAUAUGAGUCCACAAUGUAACACUAUUGCAAAAAAAGAAAACAUUUGUUCUG